CGNCACCGCCUCCACCUCCACCUCCACCACCGCCGCCUCCACCUCCACCUCCACCUCCUCCUCCGCCACCACCACCACCUCCACCUCCUCCUCCGCCACCACCACCGCCGCCGCCUCCACCACCACCACCAUCACCAUCACCGCCUCCACCUCCACCACCUCCUCCGCCACCAUCUCCUUGUCCGCCACCACCUUCACCACCUCCUCCUCCGGCAACUUACUACCAUUAUCUCUGAUGAGACAAGAGCUUGGAAUUUUUUAUUCUUCUUUUCUUCCAAAUUGGUAUACGUAAGAGAAUUAGAGGUAGUGUUUAAUUGGUCAUAUAUGUAAAAAUAAAUUAUAAGAAUUUAGCUAUUUCCAUUUUAACCGUUUGGAUUGAAGGUUGGUCAGGCAACUUUGUUUUGAAUUUGAGAACAAAUAUUAUGGUUGUUAAUUCUUGAGUGUGUCAUUGCACACAUAGUUAUAUAUACAUAAACAUAUACUCAAUUACUCAUAGUUGAAUUCAAUAUAACUCAGCUUGUGAAUGUGCAGAAUCGGGUUUUCGCCAUUGUCUCUAAAAACUCCAAGUCUAAACCAAGUUUUAGGUGAAAUUGACAAAAUUGUUGCUUCAUAAACAAAAUCGUCACUUGUCGGGUCAAUGACGGUGAUUCAUUUUUUUUGUUGUAUCAUGAAUGAAUGUCGGGUUUGUUAAGUCGUUAUCAUUGAUAAUUACCAAAAUAAUUAUUUUUAUAGCUAAGUUUACCAAUUCAAAUGCCACAUUUUGAAUUGAAACUCGUCAAAUAUUUUAUAAAAUAAUUCAGCAAGGCUAAC
rnacentral:lncRNA from 1 species